rnacentral:rRNA from 1 species
AUGAGUUCAUGUGAUUGGUGUUCUUUAUGGAAUGGUUUCUCGUCCGAAGAGGAAUAUGACAUGACGAAAGAGGAGGACGUUGCUUUGAUGUUGAUGAUGCACAAGAACAAGAAGCCGAAGCAUGGUGGUUUUGUUUACAUACAUGAGGUGAUUCGGAGGGAUAGGCAAGGUGCACACGCUAGAUUGGUGCGCCUCUACUUUGGCCCAUCCCCAACAUAUCCAGAGCGACACUUUCGCCGCAGGUUUAGGACGUCUUCGAAUUUGUUCCAUCACAUUGUCAGCUGUGUGAAGCAACAUGAUCGGUACUUCGAGCAAAGGAGGAAUUGCGCAGACAAUCAUCGACAUAUCACUAUCCAUAAGGUGAGAACCAUAUUGCACAUGAUGGCAUAUGGUGUUCCGGUUGAUUUCGUUGAUGAUAACUUGGCAAUGGAAGAGAGCACUUCAAUCUUUUAUGUUAAGGGAUUUGCAAAGGCGGUGGUUGAGGCGUUCGGGCCAGAGUAUUUGAGAGAGGGCUUUUGGGAUUUUGCAAGCCCAAUUUGCUAUUAUGCGAGGACCGAAUAG